rnacentral:misc_RNA from 1 species
AAGUCGUAACAAGGUUUCCGUAGGUGAACCUGCGGAAGGAUCAUUAACAAAUCGAUUGUGUAGAAAAAAAAAGAUUGAUAAGACUUUGGUUUUAUUAUUCUUUUUCUUCUAAACACAUAUUUACGCUUGUAUUGUUUGACAGAGUAAAUUUUAUAUUUAAAUCAGAGACAACUUUUAACAAUGGAUCUCUUGGCUCUU